AGAGUUUGAUUCUGGCUCAGAUUGAACGCUGGCGGCAUGCCUUACACAUGCAAGUCGAACGGCAGCGCGGGAGCAAUCCUGGCGGCGAGUGGCGAACGGGUGAGUAAUACAUCGGAACGUGCCCAAUCGUGGGGGAUAACGCAGCGAAAGCUGUGCUAAUACCGCAUAAGAUCUACGGAUGAAAGCAGGGGAUCGCAAGACCUUGCGCGAAUGGAGCGGCCGAUGGCAGAUUAGGUAGUUGGUGGGGUAAAGGCUCACCAAGCCAACGAUCUGUAGCUGGUCUGAGAGGACGACCAGCCACACUGGGACUGAGACACGGGCCCGACUCCUACGGGAGGCAGCAGUAAGGAAUAUUGGUCAAUGGACGCAAGUCUGAACCAGCCAUGCCGCGUGAAGGAUGAAGGUCUUCGGAUUGUAAACUCCUGUCAUUGGGGAACAAGGUGCAUACGUUAACUGCGUGUGCAUUGAUAGUACCCGAAGAGGAAGAGACGGCUAACUCUGUGCCAGCAGCCGCGGUAA
rnacentral:rRNA from 1 species